AAGCGAGGAGGAGGCUACCGAGAUUAAUACUCUUGGAUAGUGGACGUUACUCGCAGAAUAAGCACCGGCUAACUCUGUGCCAGCAGCCGCGGUAAUACAGAGGGUGCAAGCGUUAAUCGGAUUUACUGGGCGUAAAGCGCGCGUAGGUGGCCAAUUAAGUCAAAUGUGAAAUCCCCGAGCUUAACUUGGGAAUUGCAUUCGAUACUGGUUGGCUAGAGUAUGGGAGAGGAUGGUAGAAUUCCAGGUGUAGCGGUGAAAUGCGUAGAGAUCUGGAGGAAUACCGAUGGCGAAGGCAGCCAUCUGGCCUAAUACUGACACUGAGGUGCGAAAGCAUGGGGAGCAAACAGGAUUAGAUACCCUGGUAGUCCAUGCCGUAAACGAUGUCUACUAGCCGUUGGGGCCUUUGAGGCUUUAGUGGCGCAGCUAACGCGAUAAGUAGACCGCCUGGGGAGUACGGUCGCAAGACUAAAACUCAAAUGAAUUGACGGGGGCCCGCACAAGCGGUGGAGCAUGUGGUUUAAUUCGAUGCAACGCGAAGAACCUUACCUGGUCUUGACAUAGUAAGAACUUUCCAGAGAUGGAUUGGUGCCUUCGGGAACUUACAUACAGGUGCUGCAUGGCUGUCGUCAGCUCGUGUCGUGAGAUGUUGGGUUAAGUCCCGCAACGAGCGCAACCCUUUUCCUUAUUUGCCAGCGAGUAA
rnacentral:rRNA from 1 species